rnacentral:rRNA from 1 species
UACGAAGGGGGCUAGCGUUGUUCGGAAUUACUGGGCGUAAAGCGUGCGCAGGCGGCCAUCCAAGUCAGUGGUGAAAGCCCGGAGCUCAACUCCGGAAUUGCCAUUGAAACUGUUUGGCUCGAGUACGAGAGAGGUGAGUGGAAUUCCCAGUGUAGAGGUGAAAUUCGUAGAGAUCGGGAGGAACACCAGAGGCGAAAGCGGCGACCUGGACAGGCACUGACACUCAACUACGAAAGCGUGGGGAGCAAACAGG